rnacentral:rRNA from 1 species
GACGAACGCUGGCGGCGUGCUUAACACAUGCAAGUCGAACGAAGAGCGAUGGAAGCUUGCUUCUAUCAAUCUUAGUGGCGAACGGGUGAGUAACGCGUAAUCAACCUGCCCUUCAGAGGGGGACAACAGUUGGAAACGACUGCUAAUACCGCAUACGAUCCAAUCUCGGCAUCGGGACUGGAUGAAAGGUGGCCUCUAUUUAUAAGCUAUCACUGAAGGAGGGGAUUGCGUCUGAUUAGCUAGUUGGAGGGGUAACGGCCCACCAAGGCGAUGAUCAGUAGCCGGUCUGAGAGGAUGAACGGCCACAUUGGGACUGAGACACGGCCCAGACUCCUACGGGAGGCAGCAGUGGGGAAUCUUCCGCAAUGGACGAAAGUCUGACGGAGCAACGCCGCGCGAGUGAUGACGGCCUUCGGGUUGUAAAGCUCUGUUAAUCGGGACGAAUGGUUCUUGUGCGAAUAGUGCGAGGAUUUGACGGUACCGGAAUAGAAAGCCACGGCUAACUACGUG